rnacentral:rRNA from 1 species
ACGCUGGCGGCAGGCUUAACACAUGCAAGUCGAACGGUAACAGGGAUUAGCUUGCUAAUUUGCUGACGAGUGGCGGACGGGUGAGUAAUGCUUGGGAAUCUGGCUUAUGGAGGGGGAUAACUACGGGAAACUGUAGCUAAUACCGCGUAAUAUCGGAAGAUUAAAGGGUGGGACUUUCGAGCCACCUGCCAUAAGAUGAGCCCAAGUGGGAUUAGGUAGUUGGUUAGGUAAAGGCUGACCAAGCCGACGAUCUCUAGCUGGUCUGAGAGGAUGACCAGCCACACUGGAACUGAGACACGGUCCAGACUCCUACGGGAGGCAGCAGUGGGGAAUAUUGCACAAUGGGGGGAACCCUGAUGCAGCCAUGCCGCGUGAAUGAAGAAGGCCUUCGGGUUGUAAAGUUCUUUCGGUGACGAGGAAGGUUGAUAGGUUAAUAGCCUAUCAAAUUGACGUUAAUCACAGAAGAAGCACCGGCUAACUCCGUGCCAGCAGCCGGGGUAAUACGGGGGGUGCGAGCGUUAAUCGGAAUAACUGGGCGUAAAGGGCACGCAGGCGGUGACUUAAGUGAGAUGUGAAAGCCCCGAGCUUAACUUGGGAAUUGCAUUUCAUACUGGGUCGCUAGAGUACUUUAGGGAGGGGUAGAAUUCCACGUGUAGCGGUGAAAUGCGUAGAGAUGUGGAGGAAUACCGAAGGCGAAGGCAGCCCCUUGGGAAUGUACUGACGCUCAUGUGCGAAAGCGUGGGGAGCAAACAGGAUUAGAUACCCUGGUAGUCCACGCUGUAAACGAUGUCGAUUUGGGGAUUGGGCUUUGAGCUUGGUGCCCGUAGCUAACGUGAUAAAUCGACCGCCUGGGGAGUACGGCCGCAAGGUUAAAACUCAAAUGAAUUGACGGGGGCCCGCACAAGCGGUGGAGC